CACGCCCUAAACGAUGAUCACUCGAUGUGUGCGAUAAACUGUACGCGUCCAAGCGAAAGCAUUAAGUGAUCCACCUGGGGAGUACGACCGCAAGGUUGAAACUCAAAGGAAUUGACGGGGGCCCGCACAAGCGGAGGAGCAUGUGGUUUAAUUCGAUGAUACGCGAGGAACCUUACCAGGGCUUGAAAGUUAGAGAAGGAUGUGGAAACAUGUCCGCCCGCAAGGGCUCGAAACUAGGUGC
rnacentral:rRNA from 2 species